AACUGCUGAAAACCAAAUGCAGAAACCGUCAACAUUUUGGACAGCUUGUCCGUACUGUCACAGGUUGUUUGAGUAUCCAGGGUUUUACGAAGGUUGUUGUUUAAGGUGUCAGAAUUGCGAGAGGUCUUUUCAUGCAUUUUCGAUUCCGACACUACCACCGCUGUGCUGAAAAAAAAAUUAGCUAACCCUAUUCUCAUAUGUGAUAGAAGUGAGGGAGGUAGGAUAGUAGGCUGUCCGAACGUCACGUUGAGAGUAACUUCCGUUGGGGUAAAUCUAGUUGGAUGCCUUCUAUGAUUCCCGGAGGCCAGUCGGAGAGUGAAAGA